rnacentral:tRNA from 1 species
GAUCCCAUCGUCUAGUCUGGCCCAGGACACCGGGUUUUCAUCUCGGCGACACGGGUUCAAAUCCCGUUGGGAUCACCA